AAUGGUGGUUUAUCCCUUUUAUGCCUGGGUGUGCCUAAAAUAUAUAUAUUUUAGGCACACCCAGGCAUAAAAGGGUUAAACC